GUCUCAACGUUCAUUUAAACAAAAUACAGAAAUUCCAGACCUCGUGAUUGUGGAGAAAAGGUGAACCCUAAAAAGCUACAAAACCAGAAUGCAAAUAAAAAGGAUGCGAAAUUUAUUGUUCUAAAACUCCCAUGCUUUUUAAGUCAGUCUCAUGAUUUUGGGUGGCUUGACUCAUGAUUUAUGAAUGUAGGGGUUGACAAUGCUUUUUUGUUGCUAUUUCAUGGUUGCUAUUUUUCCGUUUCCCCACAUCUCCCACCAGUAAGAGUCAGAUUUUAUUCAUGAGCUUUAACUAAGAAAUUAUUCUUUUUUAGAAUCUGUUAAAAAAAACACUGCUGAGAGUUUUCAACUUUAUGAACUGAUCAUUCAAGGUUUAUGUCAAUGGAUUUGCACCCCACCCUUAUCCAAAAACAGAUCUGUGAGGGUCAUGAAGAUAUCUUUUUAGUUGUAUUUUCACAGUUUUUUCCCCCUCACUUUUUUUUCUUUUCUUUUUUUUGACUGUUUCUCUCUUCCUUUGUCCCUUCUCUGAUCUCCGGUACCAUGCAGCUUGUUUUGUCUGUGUAACAUUGGAAAAACUCUAUAAACAAAAUGUUUGAAAUAUCCAAGAUGGCUGUUUGGUUGUCAUCAUGCCAUUUCUGGGGAACCCUUAUGUAUUUUUUAGGAAAAGAUCUUCCAUUGAAGCUAUGCCAACAAUUGACAACAGCUAAGGAUCUGGCCUUCUGAAUUUGAAAUAUGUGCUGAAAAUUACCACACGCUCCUUUCAUGGUCUGGUAGUCUCCACCAACAAACUUUCAUUUCUACUCUUCUGCUUACUGAAACUGUCAAGAAAGAUCUAAAACAGCUAAAGCAGAAGCUUCCGCAUGUUCUGUUUCUUUCAGAUAUUGUAUGUUAAAUCUUUCCCUUUCCAGAAUCUGAUACAUUUCAUCCCUCAAAGAAAUUCAAUGGGUCCAUUUUAUCUGAAAUAUUUUGGUCGAUUACUUUUUUCAAGCUGCCUUAAAAAGGCACAAAAUAGUGAAAGAAGAAUUAGACCCAGCUUGACACCAGUGUGAAUCGGGAGUAAAUCCACUUAAAUCAGUGCAGUUACCCUGGUGUGAAACUGGUGUAAACUCAGGAUGAAGCUCAUCCGCUUUGACUAGAUGUUACUCAAGUUUAAAAGGAAAUAUUACUAUCCUCUGUCUAAUCUAAUCUAUCAUCUUUCUAGGUAUGCUGCCCCUUCCUGUGGUAUCUGUUGCUCAGUACAACAUCCAAAUUCAUGACGUAGGAAAUGCUUUUCAUCAUGAGCAAGCUUCAAAAUAUAUUUUUAAAUGUUUUUAAGAGAGAUGGGGCUGAACUAUCCCUCGCCCCAGAUCAAAGCACCACUGAACUUUGUGGGCUCACAAUCUACACCUGAAUGUUCCAGUUGAAGCUAUUUCUAGUUUUCAGUUGAAAAAUAAGAGGGCUAGUUAACAAACCUGAAAUUCAGGCCAGCUUAGCUGAAAGUUUGGCUGAUGUUUGCAAACAUCCCAGUGAGAUGAUUUAUGAUUUUGUCACCCAAGGCCUGGGAGAUAUGUGGCUGUUUUGAGGUUUCUAGAAAAACUUGAGCAUGAGAGUGGGGGAACCAACACUUAAGUAUAGAUUCGCCCCCGUCUUCUCCAAGCCAUAAUGGCUGAGUUGUCCGCCCCAUGUGGCCCUGUGCUUUGGAGACCAUGCACUUCCUGGAAUGUAGGGAAAAGAGAAGACUGACAAGAGCCCUGUGAUCUGGGAUCCCUGCAGAACCCCCAUCCCAGAUGCCAAACUCCUCUGCUGCUCCUUCUUGCCGUAUCAAGAGAGCACAGUUGCCAACUUUAACACGAUAAAUAAGCACCCUGACUUUCACUAUUAGCCAAAGAUCAAGCUAAUCCCAUUUCAAAACAAGGCCAAAACAAGCCAAUCCCUAAGAAUCCCAACACUCUAUGUGUCUAGAUCCCCCCAGCAUGAAGUCUGGGACUGUGGUGGGCCCACUGUGCAUCCCUAUCUCCACAACUUGCCCCUGCUUGCCGGGAGCCGAUCAAAAAAAAGAAGCAACAAGCUACAAGCCAAAAACUAGUCAACAAGCAAUUCACAAGCCAAUUAAGCCAAAAACAAGCACAAUUUCUGUGUUUUUUUCAAGGGUUUGGCAUGUCUGCAGGAGAGUCAACCCAAGCCCUCCAGAUGCCAAAAGCCUCUUAACCACCCCCCUGAUAAGCACCACCACCUCGCUCCCCAGGAACAAACCCAGCUAGCCGUCAAUCGAUUGCCUCUCCAAAUCCAGAUGUGCAAAUUUGGAAUGUCUGCUUGAGCCCCUGGUAUAUGAACCCAUGGCUAGUUUUGAUUGUGGUUGAUGAAUUGCCCAUGCUGAGAAGCUGUGAUUUUAUCAGUGCUACUGUCCUGGGUGUUUUGGGAAGGGAGGGAUCUUGGGGAUGUUAUGAUCAGAAUGAAUGUUGUACAUUUUUAGGGCAGUUUCACUAACAAUAAAUCCACUCUGACCAGCAACCCAAAUAAGGUGUGGCAUAGAGGCUGCGAGGGGUUUGAUUGGUGAGAGCUCUCUGCGUCUAAACAGGCAAAAUUAAAGCUUCUGUUUCUGUUCUGGUGGGGGUAGAAGAGGACGCUUCCUUGCACAAGUUGCAUCUCACUCACAGAGGUUUAACAUGAAGACUGUCCUGCUUGUCACUGCUCUUCUCCUGAUGAAUUUGAUGACUGAAACCUUUGCUACAACGCAAAAACCCACGGGGUCACCCAAAACAAGCCUGGGCACCCCCUGCUGCGUCCCAGCUUCUCUUUUGCUGGUGUUUGCCUUGGCAGCAAUUUACCUCCUCCGAGCAAAAUGAGCCCCCACACUUCACUCCCCAGAGAGAUGCCAACGCUGCCUUCUGCCUGCCACCAGCUCAGCCUCUCCUGCCGGACACCCCGCUGGAGCCUGCCAAUCCGCGUAACCCAGCCAGCAUAACCGCUCCAGUUCAAGUCUUCCCGCAACACACCCACUGCGCACUUCUCUUCGCAGCCAUCGGCUUCUUUCCUUGUUUCCCAUCAGAGCCAUUCGUUCCACCACCUGCGAUGGAAUCCCGGCAGCAGAGUCCAGCUUCACAUGGAGAUUCCCAUUAGGAUCACAUUGGAGAGGCAGAUGCAUGUCUCACCACAGCACCUGAGGAGCCUUGCCAUUGAUUGACCAGCUCCUGUGCAGAAUGGGCCUCCCCAAGGAAAAGAGACCGAGAUUGCAGCAAGGGUGUGUUUUGUUGCAUGCUUGUGUAUGUUAGGGUUACCAUAUUUCAACAAUCAAAAAAGAGGACGGGAGGAGCCCUGCCCUAGCCCCGCCCCUGCCCCUUCCACUCCCUCCCACUUCCCACCCCCUCAGAAUCCCCAACCCUCCCCCCCACGCCUUGUCCCCUGACUGCCCCCUCCUGGGACCCCUGCCCCUAACUGCCCCCCAGGACUCCACCCCCUACCUAAGCCUUCCUGCUCCUUGUCGCCUGACUGCCCCCUCCUGAGACCUUCCCCACAUCCUAACUGGCCCCCUAGGAUCCUACCCCCUACCUGUCCCCUGACUGCCCCAACCCUUAUCCACACCCCCACCCCCAGACAGCCCCCCCCAGAACUCCUGACCCAUCUAAACCCCUCUGCUCCCUGUCCCCUGACUGCCCCCUCCUGGGACCCCUGCUCCUAACUGCCCUCCAGAACCCCACCCCCUACCUAAGCCUCCCUGUGCCUUGUCCCCUAACUGCCCCCUCCUGAGACACUUUGAUCUUAGCUCUAAGGAGCCGAGAAGACCCCCCACCUGUACUCUGACUGCCCAAAACCUUACACCCCCAACCCCCAGACAGCCCCCCCCUGAACUCCUGACCCAUCCAACCUUCCCCCUGCUCCCUGUCUCUUGACUACCCCACCCCCCCGAACCUCCCUGCUGCUUCUCUGACCCCCGGCCCCCUUACCGUGCUGCAGAGCAGCGCGCUCAGCAGCAGGGGGAGGGGAGCAGGGUCGGAGCUCCAGACUGCCGGAGGCCGAGGCGAACGGCCGGCCGGCCGGCGAUCUGCGAAUACAGGGGGGGGGGGGAGGGAGAGAGAGGAGGGGAGUGGUCUCAAGUUGCAGGGGAGUGGAGGGGGGAAGUGGAGGAAGGGCUUUGGCUGCUGGAGCCCCGUGCGAGUGGCUCGAUCCAGCCGGCUGCCCUGUAAGCCUCACACGCUCUGCAUGGGGGGGAAAUCCGGACAUUGACAAAUUCCCGCCGGACGCUAUUUUUAACUCAAAAAAGCCGGACAUGUCCGUGGGAAUCCAGACGAAUGGUAACCCUAGUGUAUGUACUGCACUAAUCUGAAGUUCCCCAGGCCUAGCCCUUGGAAGGCAGAUCCCAAUUCCAUGAAAACAUGUUCUGAUGCUUUGAGAAAUGAAUGUGACUAGAAAUGCUUUGGGGUCUUUCUGAUCCUUGCAGAAUGGCAGCCAGUUCAACCUAAUAAAAUGAAAGACAAGCUUCCUUACUGCCGCGUGUGUGUCAUCAUCUGCUUUUAGCUGAAUCAAAUUCCUCCAGCCCAGUGGGGGUUUCAAACUUUUACGCUGCGUUCCCCUUUCCAAAUAAUGUCGUCUCCCACAUACCCCCAUCUGAGAUAGGGUCGUUCUGUUCCUAUGGUUAGAUUGCCAAGUCUUAGGCCUUGGCUACACUUGGCAAUUCACAGUGCUGCCGCGGCAACGCUGUGAAGCGCGAGUGUAGUCGCGCCGCCAGCGCUGCGAGAGCUCUCUUGCAGCGCUGUAAGUACUCCACCUCGCCGAGGGGAGUAGCUUGCAGCGCUGUGAGCGAGCGUGCAGUCAGGACCGGCUCUAGGCACCAGCAAAACAAGCACCUGCUUGGGGCGGCACAUUCCCAGGGGCGGCACAGCAGCUGGUAGCAGUUGUGGAGGCAGCUGGGCCCGCAUGGCCUCAGCCGCACAGUGCAGGGCGCAGGGCAUCUGCAGCACGCGGGCGCCGCUCACCACCUCGGCCAGGUUGUCUUGGCGCAUGUUGCCCAUGCCGGCCAUGUCAUGAGCAGGCGCAGUCCCCAGUAGCUCACCCCCUUCACCCGCAGGAUGUCCGGGGACUUGGCCGCCAGCACCGACUUGUGGGCUCGGAUUCGCCGGCCGGUCACUUCGAUCACCAGGUCCGGCUCCUCCGAGACCAGUUGCUGAGGGCUCCAGGGCUGCGCUCCAGCCUGUGGACAGUGUUAGAGCAAAGGUCAACUAUUUGCCUAUUUUCCCAGCCGCUCCCCACAUCCACGAAGCUGCCUUCCGCCUAUACGUAUACAAAACAAUCAAUCAAGGAAGUCCAACAGCUGUAUCCUGUUUACCCCUAGAAAGGAAUUUAAAAAUUCCAGAGGUUAGCAGAACGUAUGCACGCUAAGUUGUUUGUUACUGUGUAUAAAAAAGCUUGCUCUGCGCUUGUAAGUUGUGCUUCUCCCUCUGGCAUUAGUCGAGGGGGACACCCGCUCAGCUGACUGAUCAAUAAAGAACUUGAAGCCCUC